GCGCUUAUUUCGCGAAUAAAAAAAUAGAGCCUGCCGACAUCCGUCAGGCUCUACAGUACACACAGCAGCGCAUCCGUUCGUUAUUUUUUGCAUUUUCAUCCUUGCGCGGUAAAUAUAGUUAUAGCGUUCCUUCAUCAUAUUUCCAGUAAGAAUUGGUGAUUGAUUUCA
rnacentral:sRNA from 1 species